rnacentral:rRNA from 1 species
GACGAACCGUGCGAACGUUGUUCGGAAUCACUGGGCUUAAAGGGCGCGUAGGCGGGCUCACAAGUCAGGGGGUGAAAUCCCACGGCUCAACCGUGGAAGUGCCUUUGAUACUGUGGGUCUUGAGGGAGGUAGGGGCGUGCGGAACUUCCGGUGGAGCGGUGAAAUGCGUAGAUAUCGGAAGGAACACCGGUGGCGAAAGCGGCGCGCUGGACCUCUACUGACGCUGAGGCGCGAAAGCCAGGGGAGCAAAGCAGG